CUCUUAUACUCCAGGGCUCUAUACACAGUAUAACGUGCAGUGACAAUUCAACACUUGGAGAGUAAUCUGGGAUCAAAUACACUCUAUUCUAGGCAUUGAUUCAUACAGUUCAAUAUUACAAAACGUGACACCAAAGACACAUUUUCGACUGCAACAACUUGAUCAGCCUUCAAAUCAAUGCACAAAAAAUGAAUUCUUCCAAGUACCACCAGAGAUGUCUCAAGUACCACCAGUGGUACGCGUACCACAGUUUGAGCACCACUGCAGUAGAUAGUCCCGAAGUUUUGUCAGUGACACUGGACUGCCAAUGGAUUCAUACAUCAGACCAGGCCCGCCAACAGAGGGGGACAAAGGGGUACGUUGUCCCGGGCCAAGGAGAUAUGGUUGGUUCCCCCAUUACAUUGUAUGUAGUAUUUAGUCGGGUGCCCUUUCAGAUAACUUUGUCCUGGGCCAAGCAAAAGCUGUCAGCGCCCCUGCAUCCAACCAUCUAUCCAACCAACCCACCAGCUAAGCUGGCAGGAGCCAGCCACGGGGGCUCGACUGUGCAUUGUCCAUGUGAUUGCACAAUAAUCAAAAGGCAGCACUGUGCUCUGCAAAACAGCACAAUGUGAGCGGGGGAGUGAUCAUCAGCCAAUCAAUAUCCUGGGGGUGUGAAAACAAGCCAGGACAGCACAGUUGCUAUGCUAUGUAGGAAGGUAGAGAUAUCGCUGUCUCGAACUUUUAAGAAUACAUAAUGUCGAUUUUGUAAUCAUUGGCAUCCUUUUUUUAGGCAGCGAGUUGAAAAAUAAAAGCAAAGGAGGAAAAAAA